GGAGUUUGGGAAGUAAAUGAGAUGAACCUUCGCGGUGCGCCUGUGCAGUGGGAUUAGUUUGUUUUCAUGUUGGUUGCCUAGAGAGGUAGUGAAGUUUCCGUCGCUGAACCGUAUGGGCACAGAGUUGAGCCAUGUGCUCUAGGCCGACCCUGUUUAAGCAGGGAGGUUGGACCGGAUAACCCACUGUUGCCCCUUCCAACCGGACCGAUUCUGGGAUUCUGUGUCCUUUUCCCACCCUAGAAGACGCCGUCGCAGCCGAUCUAGAAGCAGGAGCCGCUCUAGGUCCCGCAGUCGGUCCCGCUACAGUCGAUCCAAAUCCCGGUCUCGCACACGCUCUCGGUCUCGGUCCACCUCCAAGUCCAGGUCUGCCAGGAGGUCCAAGUCAAAGUCCUCAUCUGUCUCCAGAUCCCGGUCCAGGUCAAGAUCCCGGUCCAGGUCUAGAAGCCCUCCCCCUGCCUCAAAGAGGGAAUCCAACUCUAGAUCCAGGUCUAAGAGCCCUCCCAAGUCUCCGGAAGAAGAAGGAGCUGUAUCCUCCUAGGAACAUGGUAAUGUACCUCGGGAUCAGCACAGGAUGCAUGUUACUUUAUUAGAGCACUUAGGUGGGGUGUUGGGUAGUUCUUGGAACAUUAAUAGCCUGAACCAAGUGAAUCCUAGUGGGGCACAUGGUUAGUUGUUGGUUUUGUUUGUUUUUUUUUCUUGAGCAGUGUUUUUUUGGUUAUUGAUUUAGGGAAAUAAUUACUGAAGGGUUUUCUACGGAGAUUUUUUUUUUUAAACAGAGAAAAUGUUUUAUUGCAAGAUUAAUGCCUUGGUUUUAAUAAAAUAUUGUAUGAGACGCAACCUAUGAUGAAAAUGACUAUUUCUUACUGUAUUUAUCCAACAUCUUAAUUUUCCCCUUUAAAGCUGCGGUCUCCUGUUUGCUAAAAGAAUAUUGGCCAGUAUUGCAGAUUUUAACUGAUUUGGCUGAUCCUCCAGGGACCAGUUUCUGUGGGCGUGUGUUGGAGCAGGUUUGUCUUACACUGUUAAAGAUACACUAUCCUUUUAGAACGGAAGAUCGGUUCAGUGGCCGUUGUAAUGACUGGAGGUAAUAACUGUCCUAGAAAAGUGGCAAAUUCCUUGGCACGAGAAAACCACGGAAACUAGUUUUUCCUCAAGUCGACAUCUUGAAGAGGCAUCUAAGGAUACACCGGGUGGGGAAAGGAUAGUGUGUCUUUAACCCUUCAAAUUGUUUGGUCCUGUUUUUUAAAAGGAAAGGGCCUGAGCUAGCUCUGGAGUUAGAUAACUGUAGCAAAAUUAGUCACAUUUUCGGUUUUGAAUGCUAAUUAGAGCUUAGUUAAUUCUUUAUGAAAAAGUAUUAGUUUUGUAACUUUUAUAGAACUUUGAAUAAUUGACUGUUGAACAGGCUGAAUUGAAGUUAAUGGUGGCUUGAUCUACAGCCUGGUGCUUAUUCUCCUUUGUAACUAAAUAUUUUGACCGAACCUUACAUUUGGCCUCCGAAGUAAAGCAACACACGGGGGGAGGUGGAACACUGUGGAAAUUUCUAAAAUUUAAAUAAAUUAGGCAAAGCCAGUUGAAACACAACUAGAAGUAUCACUGAAGUCAUCCACACCCAAAAUAGACAAGGUAGAAACCCGGCUGAACUUUUCUCUCUUCAAACCUAGAUGCUUCAGCUAAAUGAGAACCCAGAUAAAGGACGCCUUUGGGGGGAAAAGAUCGCUUGAGUCUUCAGCCCAUUGGAGAGACCCUGGCCGUGCAACCAGCUGUUGAAAAGGUUAUUUUGUAACAUUUUGUCUAACUUUUUACUUGUUUAAGUUGCGCCUCAAGUGGCAGAUUUUACAUUUUAUGUGCCAUUUUGUUGCUGUUAUUCAAAUUUCUUGUAAUUUAGUGAAGUGAACGACUACCGAUUUCAUUAUUGGCUUGGAUAUUUGAGGUAAAACUUCAUUUUUGUUUAUAUAGUGCUGACUUCUAUUGGAAAUUAAAAUUGAUGGUAUUUUGCUGCCUCCAGUUUCAUACUGAGGAAUCAUGCAGCCACUAUAUGCUGAUAGCUAACUGUCAAAAAGUACUCUCAAUUUUAUCUUGAUCCCUUAAAAUCUGCAAAACUUCAACUUGAAACUUACUGUAAAUGCUUUUUUUAAAAAGAAAGAAAAACUUAAAAUAGCAUCUUCAAAUGCAAAUUGGUAGAAAUCUUUUCAGGUGACAGUUGAUAUUUGCAAGGAUUGUUUUAUCAGACUCAAUUCUAAUCUCUUCUCUUAUGUAUUUUUGUGCACUAGGCGCAGUUGUGUAGCAGUUGAGUAAUGCUGGUUAGCUGUUAAGGUGGCGUGUUGCAGUGCAGAGUGCUUGGCUGUUUCCUGUUGUCUCCUGAUUGCUCCUGUGUAACGAUGCCUUGUCGUGCAGAAACAAAUGGCUGUCCAGUUAAUUAAAAUGCCUGACAACUGCACUUCCAGUCACCCGGGCCUUGCGUAAAAAAAAUGGAGCAUACAGUGAGCACAUCUAGCUGAUGAUAUACACACCUUAUUUUUUCCAGAAUGGUAAAACUUACCAACCUACAUAUAUGAACUUACAUAUGAGAAUUGUAAUGUUAAGCAAAAAAAUGGUUCAUUCCUUUGUAAGUACUGAUUGGUGUAUCUUUUGCUUAAGACAUUCUGUACUAUACCCACUGUCUCUGUAGUUAAUAUUAAACAUUUUUUUCUGUGUUAACUUUUCUCAACUUAAUGUCUUGGGUCAGCUUAUUUUUAGCUUGAAAAGAUUUCUGCAAUUAUACUGUCAAUGUUUAACUUCUAUAUAGUAACUAAAUGCAUUCUACUGCUUAUAAAAUUUAUCCACUGGGGUUGCUUUUAAAUUACUGUGGGCAAAGUUUAAUUAGCAUUGUUACUAACUCAAUGUUGUGUGGCAAGUAGUAACACACCAAGCCACCAACACAGAACCAGCCAGGUCCUGGGAUGGUGUUGUGGGAGGUCCACACUAAGCAGUACUAAUAAUUGCAUUGCUGUGUGCUUGCCCUGGCUCACCAGGCUGCUGCUUGAUGGGGGCUGAUCUUUACAGUGAUGAUUUCUCUUGAUUUGGUACCAAAUGACUUGUAACUUCAAACAUCCUGUGUCAAGGGUUAUUGUAAUGCCUUGUUUUAUUUUAUGCAUGUGUGUUAAAUGGGAAUGGAAACAUCUGAACACUGGCAGUAUGGCUUUGUUGAGGAUUAAAAGUACUUUUCUACAAA